UGAAACUGAAGCAAGAUAUGGUGUCAAUUGAGGCAUAUCAGAUUUUAUUGUUAUUAGGUGAAGGUGUUUUAUGUAAUUAAAAAAUUAUGCAAAUAAAAAGUAUAAACUGCCAAAAAUAUGUUUAAAGCUUUCAUUGGUGAAGGGUUAUGUAAUAAACAUUGUGGUUGUUUAAAAAUCAGAUUUACAAAACUGAUAAAAGGUUUGGUUGAGGGUUUGUUAGUAAAAUUCUAUGUGGUUGAGGUGCAUCUGAAUUAUGCCCCUUUGUGGAAUAUUUACAUCACUAAGGAAGUGAGGUGGUUCAUUCUGGCCUCAAUUUCAUAUUGUGUGUAAUGUGACCAGAGAAUAAGUCUCUGAUAGGG